rnacentral:rRNA from 1 species
UACGGAGGGUGCAAGCGUUAUCCGGAUUUACUGGGUUUAAAGGGUGCGCAGGCGGAUAUGUAAGUCAGUGGUGAAAUCUCUAGGCUUAACCUGGAAAUUGCCGUUGAUACUAUAUAUCUUGAAUGCUGUGGAGGUAAGCGGAAUAUGUCAUGUAGCGGUGAAAUGCUUAGAUAUCUGGAGGAAUACCGGUGGCGAAGGCGGCAUCCUGGACCGGCAUUGACGCUGAGGAGCGAAAGCCAGGGGAGCAAACGGG